rnacentral:rRNA from 1 species
CCUACGGGUGGCAACAGUGAGGAAUAUUGGUCAAUGGGCGGAAGCCUGAACCAGCCAAGUAGCGUGCAUGAUGACGGCCCUACGGGUUGUAAACUGCUUUUAUACGGGAAUAACGCGCCUUUCGUGUAGGGCUUUGCAUCUACCGUAUGAAUAAGGACCGGCUAAUUCCGUGCCAGCAGCCGCGGUAAUACGGAAGGUCCGGGCGUUAUCCGGAUUUAUUGGGUUUACAGGGAGCGUAGGCCGCAUGUCAAGCGUGCUGUGAAAUGUCCGGGCUCAACCUGGGCCUUGCAGCGCGAACUGGGGUGCUUGAGUCCGCGGAAAGCAGGCGGAAUUCGUCGUGUAGCGGUGAAAUGCUUAGAUAUGACGAAGAACCCCGAGUGCGAAGGCAGCUUGCUGCAGCGGAACUAACGCUGAUGCUCGAAAGCGCGGGUAUCGAACAGGAUUAGAUACCCUUGUAGUC